CGUGCCAGCAGCCGCGGUAAUACAGAGGUGACGAGUGUUGUUCGGAUUUACUGGGCGUAAAGGGUGCGUAGGCGGUUUCGUGUGUCAGAUGUGAAAGCCUACCGUUCAUCGGUAGAAUUGCAUUUGAAACUACGGGGCUAGAGUUCAGGAGAGGGGAGUGGAAUUCUUGGUGUAGCGGUGAAAUGCGUAGAUAUCAAGAGGAACACCGGUUGCGAAGGCGGCUCCCUGGAAUGACACUGACGCUGAGGCACGAAAGCUAGGGGAGCAAACAGGAUUAGAUACCCUGGUAGUCCUAGCCCUAAACGGUGUGCAUUUGGUGUAGGCAGGUUUGUCCCUGCCUGUGUCGGAGCUAACGCGUUAAAUGCACCGCCUGGGAAGUACGGUCGCAAGGCUAAAACUCAAAGGAAUUGACGGGGGCCCGCACAAGCGGUGGAGCAUGUGGCUUAAUUCGAUGCAACGCGAAGAACCUUACCAGGGCUUGACAUGUAACUGCAAGUCCCGUGAAAGCGGGAUGUCUUCGAGAGUGUUACACAGGUGCUGCAUGGCUGUCGUCAGCUCGUGCCGUGAGGUGUUGGGUUAAGUCCCGCAACGAGCGCAACCCUUGUGAUUAGUUGCCAUUACAGUAAUGUAGGCACUCUAAUCAGACUGCCUGUGAUAAGCAGGAGGAAGGUGGGGAUGACGUCAAGUCAGUAUGGUCCUUAUGUCCUGGGCUGCACACGUGCUACAAUGGACGGUACAGAGGGAAGCAAGACCGCGAGGUGGAGCAAACCCCCAAAAACCGUCCCUAGUUCGGAUUGAAGUCUGCAACUCGACUUCAUGAAGCCGGAAUCGCUAGUAAAGGCGUAUCAGCUACGACGCCUUGAAUACGUUCCCGGGCCUUGUACACACCGCCCGUCA
rnacentral:rRNA from 1 species